UGGUAUCUGUUACAGCAGCCACAGGAAACUAAUACAAGUUGCUAACAAUUUUUGGCCCUAACAAUGUUUUCAGGGCUUUAACCCUUAAUCUUCAUAAUGAUGCUUUAAAUGUUUUAACUAAAUUAAUUUUUUUCUUCUUAUAACGAAGCUUUUUGGGUUCUUUUAGAAACUGGGUCUCGCUCCGUUGCCCAGGCUAGGGUGCAGUGGCGUGACUGUAGCUCACUGUAACCUCAACCUUCUGGCCUCAAGCAGUCCUCCCACUUCUGCCUCUCAAAGUGCAGGGAUUACAGGAGUGAGCUACUGCACCCAGCCCAUAAUGAUAUUUUAAGAUGUACUGCAUGAACAAGCAACCUGCUGUGUUUCAUUGUGAAGCUGUGGCCAGCCCAAUUGGUAAUGCACCACCUACAUUUGCGUUCCUUCCUUCUCCACCUCAUUUCUUUGUUCCCUUAUUCUUGUGGCCUGGGAUUGCACCCCCAAUAAGCACGGUCAGGCUGGAGCUUGGUGUGACAGUUGGAGCUCCAGUAACUGUCUUGGGUGAUGAGUUACCCUGGGAUGGAAGUUGGCGCUGAGGAUGGCGUGUGCAGAUUGCAGUGUGGUUCUCUCUCCCACUCCACCCUGGAUCUGCUGACAUGCCUCAUUUUCUCCUCGUCCUGCCAGCAGCUGUAUGUCCUUCCUCACGUCUAGCCACUGUGCCUUUCAGGAUGCCAGCUCUCUGUGCUACAGCUGUGCCUCUUCCCUGAAUUACUCAGGUCUAUGCUAAGUUUUGGGCUCUCGCAACUUCCCUGGAUUCUCCCCAGAAUGAGAGUACAAGCCCCGGUUUUCGGAUUCCCCAAUCAACAUGAGGGUUUUGCCACUCCGCAACGGGCUCAGUUCUGUAGCAGUGUCUGGAAUGACCAGCAUCUAAGCCUUCUUUCCUUCCUUUCUGGUCCUUACACUUCCUCCCCCACUUGUAGAAACUUUAUAGGUGGCAAAAGGUACAAGGAACAAGAUAACGUCUCUCUUUUGUUAUAUAUGACUCUAAAUUUCAAAUGACUCUAAAUUUGUAUCUUGCAAUUGUAUCUUGCAAUAUCUUACCACAUUGAGAAAAGGGGGAGGAGACACUAGGAGAAGAGCUGAACAGCAUCAGAGCCAGAGAUGGAUCAGGUCAGUAUUGGGAAUGCAGUUAAGAGCAGUGUGAUGCUGCUGCUGAAAUAUCAGAGUCCUGUAUGUCUCCCCUGUCUCUCCUCAAAGUCCCAUGGUGGAGACCUCAUCACUCAUCAUGAGAGGAAGCUGCUCUCAAGCCCACCUUGCAGCAUGGAGGAAAGAAAGGAGCCCACAUCUGAGGAUGCCCAGCAUGGCCUGGGCCCUUGAACAACAGGGUCACAGCCAAGGAUUCUCACCCCUCCAAUGUGGCAGAGGGGCCCCACUCUGGGGAAGGUGGCCUGCUCAGGGUCACAGUGGGUGGAGCAGCUUUCAAGGCACCCAGCAUUUAAUAAUUGAUCCUGUCAAAAAUCAUCAAUGGGUGCUAAAACAAGUGGGCCUAAGUUUGCUGAGGAACAGGCAUUCAUAGCGUCUCCACAUAUGAUAUUCAAAGUCUCAAAGUCUCUUUCAAAGCCACCAAAUUUAACGCCACCAGUUAUGGGACAAAUUGACAUUGUGUGCCUUCUGAUAGGAUGCACUGAGAAAAACACAUCGCUUUUGUGACAUUUCUGGCCAAAAUGUCUAACCUGAAUCUAAUCACAAGGAAACAUCAGACAAACCCAAACUGAGGGACAGUCUACAACAGUAACUGGUCUGUAUUCCCGAAAAACAUCAAGGUCACGAAAAUCAAAGGGAAGGCUAAGGAGCCAUUUCCAAUGGAAAAAGACUGAAUAGAAGGGACACCCAAAAGCAACGUGGAUUUGAUCCUAGACCAGAGAGGAAAGGGUGUUUAUGACGGCCAUCUUUGAGGCAGGCAGCUGCAUCUGAAAGGGCCCCUCGAUUGGAUGGUUGCAUUUCUCUCCAUGUUAAUUUCCUGAUUUGGGUGAUUGUAUUAUCUUUAUGUAAGGACGCUUGUUCUUAGGAAAUAAAUGCUGAAAUAUUUAGGGAUGAAGGAGCAUUCUUUCUCCAUCCCAUUUCUUCCCCCACCCCUUCUCUUCCUCCUUCCCUCUCCCACCCCCAAGCAAGUGUGGUGAAAUAUUCAUCAGUGGGGGAUCUGGGUAAAAGGUACUGGUGAGUUGUUUUUUGCACUAUUCCUGUAAGUUUUCUAUACAUCUCAAGUUAUUUCAAUAUAAAAAAUUACCACCCCAACCCACACCCUCUAAAAUAUUUGAGGAACAUGAGAUCAGGGAGGGGAGGAGCCCCGAGUGCCCCCUAAAUGUCCAUGUUCAGAUCAGAAAGGGGCUUUGAAAAGCCUGAAGUCUAACCCUCUCAUUUCACCUCUGAAGGCUGAGACACCAGAGAGGUACAGGCACACAGGUCCCAUGAGCCCAGUGCAAAUGCGUGUAAGCCCCUUGCCAUACUGCCUCCCUGCUUCUGAAUCCCAGAUCUGCCAUUUGGUAACUAAGAGAACUUGAGCAAGCUACUGACAGGCUCCAGGACCUGCUACCCCCAAAUAUGACACCUUGGCACAUUGACUGUUUCAAGCUGAAGGAAUCUGUAAAACAGCAGGUGCAGGAAGAUCUCUCUGACCUUUCCCUGAGGCAGGUCAUAAGCCCCUCUAUGAGAGGUGCCCUUUCUAUGCCUGGAGAAGAGGAGGAUCCUUAUCUCCAAGUCACAAGGACAUGUAGAGGAACCUAGAUGCAGGCUUGCUGCCUUCCCCAGCUGACCGCUCUUACUUCAUACCUUUCUUUUGUCCUGUCACAUUUUCCCAAGAUUCUCCAUUCUUCAUCAAACCUAGCAUAAAUACAUUCAGGUUUAACGACUUCUUUGGGUCUUCACUUUCUCAUACUCUCCUGUGUCAUGUAAAAUACAUAUAUUAAAUAAAUUAGUAUGUGUUUCUCUCG